UACAGAGGGGGCAAGCGUUGUUCGGAAUUACUGGGCGUAAAGGGUGCGUAGGCGGCGCGGAAAGUAGGGUGUGAAAUCCCUCGGCUCAACCGAGGAAUUGCGCCCUAAACUACCGUGCUCGAGGGAGAUAGAGGUGAGCGGAACUUAGGGUGGAGCGGUGAAAUGCGUUGAUAUCCUAAGGAACACCGGUGGCGAAAGCGGCUCACUGGAUCUCUUCUGACGCUGAGGCACGAAAGCUAGGGUAGCGAACAGG
rnacentral:rRNA from 1 species